GGACACAAAGGUAAGUUAACACCUAUUUUUUAAGAUGGCAGAGGAAGAGUCAUGCCUUCUUCCCUGUUAUUUCAUCCCCUUCUUCCAAUUUUGCCCCCCAAUUCAAUGUAUUACGUCGUCUACAACUGAACAACAAUGCUAGGAUGACUUAAAGCGUCGCUGCAAUUACCAAUUCAAUCAAUUAGGUCUCAUCAUUGAGGCUACCAACCGGCCACCUUCUUCUUCAUCUUCCUUCCGUUUCCUUAUUUAGUUAUGCUCAGAGUUACAAAUCUCACACUGUUCAUUCAAUUUUCAUCUUCAUUGCAAUUCCAGCAGAAUCGAUUGACAUACAAGAGAUCGUUAUUGCCUUUUCUGAUCGAAAAUUGAGCGGUGAGAUUAGGGCUAAGAGAACUUGAUCGGAGAAGCAGACUACAGUAUGAGAAAAAGCCCCAAAUUGCAGCUAUCACGUUGGUUUUCCGAAAUCAACCCCUACUGUUACAUCAGUUUACUUCCAUGGAUUACACUUGCAAGCAUUGAUGAUGUACUUGCGUCGCUUGUCUUUGGUUUUUUAUUUACUAACUCUUCUUAUAGUUUUUCAGUUUUUAGCAAGUUUGUUUAUUAUAUGUGGAAUUGAUCAGAAGUCGACUCUCUUGAGACGGAUUAUGUGCGAUAUACUAGGAAUCUACUAACAAAAUGUUGUAUCUUCUUUUUUUCAGGGUAAAUUGUCCAUAACAUGAUUGCAAAAGAUAAAAUGUGGCUUUAUUUUUUUUUUUUUUGAAUGAUGUAUAUCUUUAAUAUGUAUUCAUUCAAAUGCCUAUAUAACUAUUGAAUAUGUGGGAUGGCAAGCGAUUAUAUAGGUAUCACUCAAUAUUUUUGAUAUCGGAAGCAUAAGCUUUUUAGUUCGAAUUGGAAUUGUGUUCUAUCUUGUUGUUUUCUAUUAUAAUCUAUGUGGUUAAGUCAUGUGUUCAGAUUACCAUGUAGAUGAGGCACAAAUAAGAAAGAUGACAUAUCAGUAUUGCUAAUCUUCGUUAGCUCUGUUUAAGCAUUGAUUCCAUUGAGCAUGUAUCUUUUUUCCAUUUUGUAGGUGCUUAUUCAUUUUGGUUAUAUAGAUGAGGUUUGUAGUCUCUGUUGUCUUUGUCUUUUUUGGAGUUUGAUUUUAGUAUUUAGUACUAAAACUUGCAACAAUAAAGCUUUUUCUUUCCAGAUACGAAGGAGCCAACAUGCUCCCAUUAAUCCUGCUGUAACAAUAGUUCAUGCAACUGCUUACGCCUUUGAAAUUGGGAUUUCUUCCUGCUGUAACAAUAUGAUCAAAUCUUAUUGGGUUGUUUCUGUAUAUUGGAUCAUACUAUGUUAAGUAUCUACUUCUUUUUUCUUUUUUCACAUAGUGGACAUGUGAAGAAGAAGAAGCAAUGCGACGGUGCGAGACUUAUUAUAUCUGCAACUGCGGGAAUAAUCGUUGGAUACCUAAUCGGGAUUAAUUUUCCUUAUGUUGCUCUUACCAAGGUUCUUGGCUACCCUAGCUAAUCCCGUCGCGUAUUGUCAACUCUGCUGCAAUGCGCGGCGACUCUUAAAAGCUGCGAAAGAGAUAGAAAACCAACGACUUUGGUGGUCGUGCUACUCAACGGCGGCGAUAGAAGGUUGGGGGAGAGAGUGGAUCGUCCUUUUCGUUGCCUAGACCAUCAUUAUAGGAGAGAACUUGUAAGGGUAUAUUUAUCAAAUGGGGAGCAAAUAUGAACAAAUAAAAUGAAGGUUUGGGAAGUUGAUAGAAGAUGAACUUAGGUGGUCAAGGUAAUUGAUUGGAGAAACUGGUUCGGGAAAAAGCACCAAGCUGGUUCAAUGGAGAAGUGGCUGUGGUAUGGGAAAACGGCAGGGAGUUUUGGGUGUAUAGUUUGGGGUCUGGGGUUUGCGGAUCAUUAGAAGGAUGGCUGAACAAACAACGGUUUUCUGAGAAAGCGAGAAUAGGAUGUAAGUUAUUGUUAUGUUUUUGUUUUUUAUGUGUGAAGUAUUGAUAGUUUUAAUCAUCUCAACUUGUAUAGCUGUAAUGAGUUGGUGAGAAGGGAGCAAGAUAAAAUUAUAUAUGAUGAAUCACAACAGUAUGAAUCUACACCUAUGAAUCACUGCUGUAAGUGUGAUAAAAAGGUAAAAAUUCGAAGCGCUACAUCUGACCGUAAAGGGUAUAAAAGGCGGCUAGAAAUGUUAUAAAAAGAGGCAUAUAAUGCAGCUGAAGAUGUGGUAAAAAGAGACGUAAGACAGCUGCAAAUGUGAUAAAAAAAGUGAAAAAAACACAGCUGCGAACGUGGUAAAAAUAUGCAUAAAACUCGGCUGUAAACGUGUUAAAAAAAGUAUAAAAUGCAGCUGCACAUAUGGGUUAAACAAUAACAAACGUGUAAUGUGAUCGAAUGGGUCAAAGAAUCACAAAGGUGAAAAUGUGUUCAAAUGAGAUUAGAACCACUUAAGAGUCUUUUUGAAUGGUACUCCUAUGUUUUUUGAUACAUGCAGGUCAGUCAUAGUUACUGGUAGUCUUUUAUAUCAGCAAAUGUAGUUCUAAACAUGUAAAGGAAGUCAAUGAGUAAAUUCUAUUCUAAUUGCU